CAGCACAGUCGGGCCAUGUGCCAGAGCACUCUUCUCGCUCCCUGCUCAGCCCUCGGACUCUCUUACUUUCUCUGUUGGCCAUCGGUGGGACGGGGUGGACGGUUUCGUCCUCCUGCUUAUUUUUUUUUUUUUUUUAUGGACGCUGCCCUCCCCAGUGCACCGCAGAGGUUGAACAACAUCUGCACGCUGUGAAAGUCACAGUGAGCUGUCUCCUUUUUUAUUUUUCUCUUUCGGCCCUAAAUAAUGCAUUUCUGAGGGAACAGAAGAUACCUGCAAAGACUCUCGAAGACCCCCGAGCAACAUGAGAAGAAUUCAGCCGUUCACCAUUGGGACCAAAUUGUCCAUCCCGACCGAGUCCAAAUGUCCAGAGUGUGUUGAAGCUUAUCUGCCUGCUCCAGCUGUGGACAGCUGCAAGGUGAAGGACCACAGGGAUGAUGGGACUCAAGCUGAACCUCAGAACAGCCCUUCACCUGUGGAGCUCAGCCAGGAGGACAGUUGCCGAGAGGACAUCUCCGAUUCGCCAACGGCCUCCUCCAGGUCCAUCAAGAAGAUAGCAAUCUGUACCAACGCUGAGACGCAACUGGACCGUCCAGACGCUGUGGCAGAGAAAAAAAAUACGACAACAGACAACAUCAACAACAGCAAGAACCCCAGAUCGUCACCAUCUGCUGAAAACACCCAGCUGAAGGCUGAAGCAUGGAUUAAAAGGAAGUUACGAGAUUUGAAGUGUGGUUACAGCAUCCCAGUGUGUACCCCUCAGCACCCAGAUGAGACGUCCCAGAGCCAGAAACGAGACCUCAAGGACUUUGAGAACUCGCUCAUACAACUGACCACAAGCUUGGAGCAGGAUGAUCCCCAAGGCAUCAUUAGGGACCAAACCAGUCACGUGAUCUUUCACCUGGACAAAUUAGAGGAAUCGCAGCAUAUGGAAGAGCUCAUCUACAAACCCUGGCUGAAGUUGAGAGCCCUCCUGAAGUACUAUCACAAGGACCUGAUGCUGGCCCUGGACGUGUCCUCUUUUUACCAGCAGGCGGACAACAUCAUAUGGACCAUCAACAGUAGGAGGAGCAGUAACGUCAUGGAAGCUGAGAAAGACCCUGACCUCCAGGAGAUAACCAGCCAAAUCAGAAUGCUGAACGAGGCGGCGUCUCGGCUGUCGAACCUCCACCCAACCCUGGCCACCAGAGUGACACGCAAGCAGGCCGAGGUGAAGCAGAGCUGGGUGCAGCUCCAGGAGACCCUCCGAAAACAGAGGCCCGAGGUCCCUGUCCAAGGACUCAGCAAUGAGGAGUGCGACAUUUUGACUGUGGAUCACGAUGGGGUUGGAGUUAUGGGAAAAGACAUCAAAGAGGAGCAGAACCGCCUCAGGGGAUUUGAGAGCACUCAACACCCUAACGAGAGGGUGACAGCGAUGAGCUCAUGUGAAGAACGUCCCCCAAGAAGUUACGCUUCAACCACAGAAACCAGCAGCACUCAAGAGGAAGCCAUCCCAGAGGAACACGAGAACAAGGACCAGAUGACUGGCGCAAGCCCUGUAUCGCGGCGGGAUGAAGACAAACCCUUCACGUGGCUUGAGGAAUCCACCAAAUCGGCUAGAAAGACCCUAUCCUGGUUGAGGAACAAUAUUGGAGUGGACAUUGGCCAGGACUCAAAGCACGGUGAGGAUCCGGCUGGUGAAAAGAUUGAAGAGCUCUUGGAGCAAGUUGAGGUUUUGUGGGAUCUGCUGAAAAGACCCCAGGGGAGCACAGAGACCGACGAAGCCGAGCCAAAGCAGGCCAAACUGACGGGGGAGGAGAUGGAAGAGGAGUUGGUUCAGGUGCAGCCUGAGCCCAGCCAGCAUCACCAAGCAACAGAUCUCCCGAGUGAUGUUGGGGAGUAUGAUUCCGGAAUGCUGACGAAAUUCUUGGAACGUUUGGAAGAAACAGACAGCCAUGGAAUGUGGCAGGUUUCUCAUGAUGCCAAGGAUCAGCAACGCUGCAUAAAUGCCACUGUAGAUGAGUCCCCUGAGGUGCACAUGGAUUUGAACCAAGCAGGAGAGUGCAAAAGACAGCCCUCGUAUCAUGACCCAGGAACUGCAGAACUAAUGAACCUGCUGUCCAUUCUCACACUGCGGAUCAACCAGCACCUGUCUCGCUGUGCAGAGCUCAGCAUGGACAUCAUGGACAUGGAGACGGACAUAGCUGUCCGGUGUGAACCUGAUUUUGUUGGGCUAGAGGGCCUACAGGAACAACAAGAUGAUCUGGAGGUUGACUACCAUGUUAUUGAGGGAGAUGUUGAGGAGUUGGAAAGACUGGCCGCUCGGCUGCAGGCUUUACCCCCACCGCGGUCACUGGAUCUGGGAGAAGAGGUUCAGGUGACACUUCAGGCCUGGGAGGAAGUUGGCCGCAGCAUGGCAGAGAACCGGGGACGCUUGAUCAAGUUUAGGCACCUGCGGAACUUUUUUGAGAACUACCUAUCAAUGAUCGCAUGGUCAGAGAAAGCACGUUCCUGCAUGUUUUCUGGAGAUGCUGCACAGCACCAGUCCAGUGACGAAUGUUCAGACAUGGACGUUAGUAUCGAUCUGAAGAUGGAGGAGUUUCGGCAGCUUUCUGCAACUGGACAGAGGCUGAUUGAUGAUGGUUAUCGCCUGGCUUCAACUAUAAGAGAGAGAACAGAGGAGCUACAAAGCAUGCUGAGAUGGAUUCAGGAUAAUUGGAGGGCCCAGAAAUACCAGAAGGACCCGACAAAGAGGACAUUAAAUCCCAAGGAGAGCAGCCUUCCCUCAACUCCCCAGAAAGACACCCAGGCAACAGCACUAGAUUUCCUGUCUUUGAACACAGUGGAAACAACUGUUCAUCUCGCAACAGGCCAGCCCACUGCUGAAGGCCCAUCAGGACACAAGGAGCAGAGGGGUUCUGCUUUACCAAAACUGUCCAGCCUUCCCUCGAAAUCGACAAAAUCUUCUCUCGGGAACAGGAUCUGCCUUAUCUUGAGUUUCGACGAACAGGCUGAAGGCAUCAGCCAGGUGCAAAAACCUUCAGAGUCAGGAGAAAUCUCCGAGGCCACACACAGGGUUAGCACAUAUCUUCAUGUCACCGACAGUGGUAAAGUAUCUGAGGAGGAUCCGGCAAAGGACCAAUGGCCAUCGGUAUCAUCUUCCUCCUCCUCUUCAUCUUCAUGCUCAGCAUCCUCGUCCUCGUCGACCUGCUCCAUACCUGAAAUCAGUACCAUCUUCAUCCCCACUCUGUCCAAGAUGUCUGCUACCCCUCCAACCCCAAACGAUGGAACAAAAAGGGGGCGGAGUCACAGUCUAGCUGAUUUGCGCAGAGCUACAUCGCCAUCCAAUGCAGCCGCACGCCGCACCAAUACCUGGCCAAUGGGAAGGAGUAGAACCACGAGAAGACCAGUCAAUGGCGAGCUGCAGGUUUACGUCAAAUCAAGCGCUCUGUUAAAGGAUGCGGCAGACGCGCUGAAACCAAGCACUGUUUUCAACAACGGCGUCCACAGGCCCACAGAGAAUGCGGACGGGCAAGCGAAGAAGCGCUGCUGUUAUCUGUCUCUAGGCUCAACUUUGAGUUUCAGCUUGCCCAAAGGUCUGGGACAGGCGGCCAGUUUUCAUGGUUAUAAAGCUGGCAGCCCCCUGAAGGCAGAAGAAGAAGAAGAAGAAGACCUUACGAACAAUGCACUCUUAGAACAACACAGGCCAACAGCCCUGCACACACUCGGUCACGUGUCAUCUCAGCCUUCCAGACAAAAGCAGUUUCUUCUAAGCCCUGUGGAGGAAGUGAGGCAUGAGACAUUGUGGCAAGAUCCAGCAGAUUUUGCCCGUCAAACCAAGAUGGACUGCCAAACUAGCCCUAGCAUGGCCCCCACACAGCCAAAGUUCACACCUGCCAUUAACUGUAUUAAUGAAAGUCCUGAAAAUGUCCACACUAUGAAAGUUGAAGACCUUCCCGGUCAAAUCUAUACCCAUUUGCCUUGUUGCACCAUCAGCCUUCCAAACCACACAAGCACCUCAGUACCACAGGCUCACCAUAAGUGUCUGAGCAUUCACACUAAAGUUAAAGACCUUAAUGGCCAUAUUUAUCAUCCGCCGAAGAGCACGAAGUUUAAUACAACGGAUUACCAAGCUGCGUCAGUAAGAGGCUUGUCCAUUAACCGGGAGGAAUCUGUCGCGAUGUCGAGUUUUCAUAAGCCGACCCGCGUCAUUGUCUGUGCUGAUGUGACCUGCGAUGUGUGUGCCGGUGGUCAUAAGUCGGUGAAUUCUAGCACGUUACAGGAUGGAGUCCAAAGCAACAGAGUGGAGGACUUCCAGCCAGGCCACUGGGAGUUUGAAGAAGAAGAAGAGGAGCUAAAGGGAAUCUGGAACGGCCACGGGGCUCAGAAUGAUGGCCUGGAUAUUUGUCCCAAAAACAUGACCCAGUUCACUCAAGAAAUGCCAAGCCGUGGUAUAGGAGACACGCCCAAAGAGCCAUCGCUUCAACAUCCACAUCCCAAAUCCACGUAUUCAGGAACCGAGGGAAGGUCAGACAUCUUCACCUCGAACGAAAGGCUGGGCUCAGGAGCUUCAGCAGAGAACCAGGCAACAUGGCGUCAGACCAGCGGGUGCUCCUCAGCAGAGUUCACAGGAGCCAGGAGUCGCCUUGUCCAAGAGGAGCCGGUGGUUUUCACUCUCAGUCUCAAUGUGUAACUACGGGGGGCGGCAUAGCAGCGUGGCAGACAAGGCCAUUGGCCGGCGACCAUUCACAAGCAACACAAGCAUCAUUUUAUCCAAGCAGCGGUGGCUGUCAGAGAUUAUGACAGUGUGGGGAAAAAAAUGACCAUCCCCGCAUUGUACGUGUGUGAAGACAGUAACGCAAGCGUUUUUAAAUUAAGAAAUCUGUAUAUAUUCUUUCUGUGAUGUUCUGAAAUGCUGUUUGGGAUUAUACACAUUACUGUAAAAUAUGCAUGGCGAGCA
ensembl:lncRNA uncharacterized LOC114785237